UACAGAGGUCCCAAGCGUUGUUCGGAUUCACUGGGCGUAAAGGGUGCGCAGGUGGGUUUGCAAGUUCGAUGUGAAAGCCCCGGGCUUAACCCGGGAAUGGCAUUGGAUACUGCAGAUCUGGAGGAUCGGAGGGGGGACUGGAAUUCUUGGUGUAGCAGCGAAAUGCGUAGAUAUCAAGAGGAACACCAGUGGCGAAGGCGAGUCCCUGGACGAUACCUGACACUGAGGCACGAAAGCGUGGGGAGCAAACAGG
rnacentral:rRNA from 1 species